AGAACCUGUGAUGAAUGAAUUAUUAACUAAAUAAUAAAUCAACGACUCUUUAAUCAACAUUAACAGGACUUUAUAAAUAGAGUCAAAGAGUGAUUGAAAUUGUAGGGAGGGAAGCGGAUGGGGGCCGGUGAUGCGCCCCAGUCAGAUGUGGAAAGGUGAUGAGUCGGUCAGCUAAUCGACUCGGGGAGUGGACCAGCAUGGAUUGGGGGAUAUGACAAGGCCCGAGCUCUCGAUACGCCUAUGGAAUGUCGUCUCCUGAAUUUUGGUAGGCAACAUGCGCCUCUGGCGUACUACGACAUCUACGCGCUCUAGACGCUGGCCUGUGGGCUCCCUGUUCGACCUGUCUUGAAACACGGACUAUGGAGUCUGAUAUGUGUGUGAGUCAACGGGCGAGUAAACUUGUAAGCCGUAAGGAAGAUGGUUGGUGGUAUCCCCCUAAAAGGUUCACCUCUGACCGACCUUGAUCUUCUAAGAAGGGUUCGAGUGUGAGCAUACCUGUUGGGACCCAAAACAUAGUGAAAUAUGCCUUAGCGUGGAGAAGCUAGAGGAAACUCUGGUGGAGGCCCGCAGCGAUACUGACAUGCAAAUCGUUCGUAUAACUUUGGUAUAUGGAAGAAAGACUAAUCGAACCAUCAAGUAGCUGGUUCCCUCCGAAGUUUCCCUCAGGAUAGCUGGAGCUCGCGUGAGAGUUCUAUCGGGUAAAGAAAAUUAUUAGAGCACUCGGGAGAGAAAUGCCCUCGAUCCAUUCUCAAACUUUAAAUAGGUAGGACGGCCCGACUGCUUUGUUGAGCCGCGCCAUAUAAUCAAAAGCUCCACCUUUGUCAUUUUUUAUAUUCAGAAUUGGCGAUGCGGGAUGAACCAGAAGCCGGGUUAUGGUUCCAAACUGCGCACUAACCUAGAUCCCACAAAGGGUGUAGGUCGAUUAAGAAAGCAGGACGGUGGUCAUGGAGGUAGAAAUCCGCUAAGGAGUCUGUAACAACUCACUAGCCGAAUCAACUAGCCUGAAAAUUUGAUGGCAAUUAAGAAAAAUGAGUAGGAGCGCGUGGCGGUCGGUGUAAAACCUUUGGCGUCAGACUAGGCGCAGCGGCCAUCGGUGCAAAUUUUUGUGGUAGUAACAAAUAUUCAAAUGAGAACUUUGAAUUCCCAAGAGGGGAAAGGUUCCAUGUGAACUGAACUUGCAUUUGUGUUAGUCGAUCAUAAGGGUUGGGGGAGACCCGACAAAUAGCGUGUUUCACGCAUAUUCCGAAAGGGAAUCAGGUUAAAUUUUCUUUUUAACAGCCUACCCACCCCGCAUUCGACUCAGGCGAAGGUAGGGUGCAGCAGCUAUAAGAGCACCGCAUGUCGCGUGGUGUCCGGUGUGCUCCCAGAGGCCCUUUAAAAUCCGGAGGAUCGAAUAUCAUCCAUGCCCGGUCGUACUCAUAACCAAAUCUGGUCUCCAAGGUGAACUACCUCUAGUCGAUGGAACAAUGUAGGCAAGGGAAGUCGGAAAAAUGGAUCCAUAACUUGGGGAAAUGGAUUGGAUUUGAGGGCUGGGCACGGGGGACCCAGUCCCUAACUCGUCGGCUGUCGGUGGACUGCUCGAGCUGCUCCUACAGCGAGAGCGGGUCACCAUGUGCUGGCCGGGGGACGGACUGGGAAUGGUUCAUUCGGGUGCUUUCCCUGGGCAUCAAACAACCAAUUCAAUACUAGUACGUACAAGGGGAAUCCGUAUGUUUAAUUAAAACAAAACAUUGGUGAAGAAAUUCAACCAAGCACGGGUAAAUGGCGGGAGAAACUAUGACUGUCUUAAGGUAUCAAAAUUCCUCGUUAUCUAAUUACUGACGCACAUGAAUGGAUUAACGAGAUUCCCGUUGUUCCUGUCUACUAUCCAGCAAAACCAUAACCAACGGAAAGGUCUUGGCAGAAUCAGCGGAGAAAGAAGACCCUGUUGAGCUUAAUUCUACUCCGACUUUGUGAAAUGACAUGAAAGGUGUAGCAUAAGUGGGAGCUGAAAGGCAAAAGUGAAAUACCUUACUUUUAACAUUAUUUUACUUAUUCCGUGAAUCAGAAGUGGGGCACUUCCCCUCUUUUUGGACCCAAGGCUCGCUUUGCGGGCCUAUUCGGGCGGAAGACAUUGUCAGGUGAGGAGUUUGGCUGUGGCGGCACAUCUUUUUAAAGAUAACGCAAGUGUCCUAAGAUGAGCUCAACGAGAACAGAGAUCUCAUGUAGGACAGAAGGGUAAAAUCUUAUUUGAUUAUGAUUUCCAGUACGAGUAAGAACCGUGAAAGCAAGGCCUAACGAUCCUAUAGACCAUUGGAAUUUGAAGCUAGCGCGGGGAUAACUGGCCUGUGGUAGCCAAGCAUUCAUAGAGACGUAGCUUUUUGAUCCUUCGAUGUCCUCUCUUUCAAUCGUUGUGAACCAGAAUUCAGCAAGUGUUGGAUUGUUCACCCACCAAUAGGGAACGUGAGCUGGGUUUAGACUAUCUUGAGACAUGUUAGUUUACCCUACUGAUGAUAGUGUCGCAAUAGUAAUUCAACCUAGUACGAGAGGAAUUAUUUAUUCACAAAAUUGACCAUCGCUCUUGGUUGAAAAGACAGUGGCGCGAAGCUACCAUGUGCUGGAUUAUGAGUGAAUGCCUCUAAGUAAGAAUUUGAACUAGAAGUGAAGCAUGCGCCCCCUGUCCUCUUGCCGAACCGCAGUAGGGGCCUCUAACCCCCAAGGGUACAUGUCGUUAGCUAAGUCUCUGUGACGGAAGCGACACGGUGACUGUGUUGAAGUACAAUUUCCAUCGAGCGGUAGGUAGAAUCCUUUGUAGAUGACUAAAGUACGCAACAGGGUAUUGUAAUUAGCAGAGUGGCCUUGCUACCACGAUCCACUAAGAUUUAUCCCUUUGUCGCUCCGAUUCGU
rnacentral:rRNA from 1 species